rnacentral:lncRNA from 1 species
CGGGUGUCCUCAGGCUGCGCUCCACCCGAGAACAGAAGCUCCAUUGAGGCAGGAACGCACCUUGGGUCCUGGUCGCCGCCGGGAGCCGACGGGGACACAGGCCUCCUCCGAGUUGCCGGGCGCUGAGCCGCCUCCCCGCGGGCGUGUGUCCCCCGAGUUCUGGCCACAGACGGAGACGGGAAUAAUAACAGCGAUGUCCUCCGGAGUUGUGAGCCUAAACCAUGGGGUGACACAGACGGAGCAGCCCAGCCCGACAGCGCCUCUCGGGGGGCACUUGAUGGAGCUGUGGUGAUUCUGGGAUGAAAGCAUCAUGAAAGCGCCUGGAGGUCACGCAGACAAAGCAGCAGGCAAGGCCCUCAGAGAAGGGCCACCUGGAGCAGAGCGGGAAGAGAAGGCGCCUUUAUCAGGUGGAAUGCAGGGGCGGGACAAAAGGAAAAGAAAACCCCGCCCCGGCCGGCUCCUAAGACUGGGAAUGAUGAGGUCCUGUGUCCAGGGCUCUGCAGAGCCCUUAUCAGUGUCCCUGUGACACUGACCGGGGAUGAGGACGGUGCUGAGAUGGAGGAAAGACAAAAAAAGCAUUUCUCCACGGCCUGUUGGAAUUUCACAGUCGAGAAGACAGUAGACGGCCCAGGAAACAGAGGCUGUCCAGGCAGCUCCGCUCUGCAGUGAAAUCAGCGUCCUCAGUUCCGCUGCUUCCUGGAGGACAGAGGGAAAUGCUGCGGCCCAGCUUCCUGCGCACAGACUUGCUCUUUUCUUUCCUUUUUCUGUCAUAAUAAUAUGACUUCUUGGGAAAGCUCAUUUACAUUGACUUUGGGUUUUAUUCGUUUAUUCGGGCCUGUUUCGUUUAUUUAUCCACCAUCUUCCAGCAAGUGUUUAUUGACGGCCUCCUCUGAGCCCCGGGGAUGGAGGUUUGAGUGGGGAGACCGGUGCUCGCCCUCAGAGGGUGAAGUCUCCAGGAGACUCAGUGCACAAGUAAAUGAAGAACAAGGUGGAUGAAGGGGGCAAGCCUGCCGUAUGGGGGGUCACCGGGGAGUUGGGAUAAAGGGAAUCGAGGCCGUGUUAGACGGGGAGGGGAGGGCCGGCCUCCCUGGAGAGGUGACCUUUGAGCUGAGGGGACACCGAGAAGAUUCCAGCCAGGCACAGGCCGCCAGGAGAGCGUUCCAGACAAAGGGCACAGUUCGUGCAAAGGCCUGGAGGCAGGACUGGGCUGGACAAGCGCAGGGAACAGAGAAGAGGCUGCAGACUGUGGUGGUGGGGGAGGGUGCACUGCAGGGAGGCAGGAAGGGGGGCGAGCCCCAGGUACAGGGCAAGGCCCUGGGGUUCUCGUGGAGAAUGGGGGCAAGUGAUUGGAGGGGUCUGCGGAUCUGCAUUCCUGAACAGUCUUGGCUGCUGGUGAAAUGGACGGUGAGGCCAAGUGGAAGCCGGGCCUCCAGGCCCAUCCUGGGUCUACGAGACGUGUGGCCUUGAGCAAACUCAUCUUCCCUGAGCCUUGGUGUCCGCACCUGUGGCGUGAAGGGAUCGCGAUGGAGGGUUGGAUAAGAUGACGCCCAUGGUGGAGCCCAGCACACAGCGUCAGGCCUUCUGUAACUGUAGCGGGUGGACACUGACCUUCCCAGACUCAUGCCCCUGACCCAGGACGCAACUCAGGCCAGAAUAACGAGCCUGUGUGUUGGCCUGGGACACACGCUCGUGUAACACGACCCCUUUCACCAGCCCUUCACCUCACGACUGUUCACGAUUCCUCACAUGUGUGAGCACGGGCCGUGCUGUUGGGACUGGAGUGCUCAUAACAUCUCACCUGGGAAAGUAAUGCCACCCAAAACCAACGUCGAAUGAGGUGGUGACGCUGCGAGCAAACGCCUGCUUACUCGUUCAACAGCAAUACCGGAAAUGGCUGAAAACACACAGUUUGCCUUCUAACGCAAUUCUGGAAGCUGGCCCCUCUGAACUCCAACCCCCGGGCUGGGUUCAUUCGAAACCAUGACCCCCCCCCCCAAGGUCGCUCAGUGGCAUCCACGUCUUCCCAGGUGAGGGGGUUAAAACGUGACACCAGGAGGCGGCAGACGCACAAAUCCGGAAUGCGGGGUGUCCCACAGGCAGCUGAUCCUGGGAACUCUACAUGACGUGAGAAGGAAAGUGAGGGGCGUGGAUCACCUCCACCGGAGACGGCAGAGCCUUCACGACCAAGGACGGGGCCUUGUUCGAAUCCUGAUUCCGGAAAAGCAAUGAGAGGAAGACAUUUGCCAGACAAGUGGGGAAGUUUGAACUUUAGAAGUGACAAGGACGCUGCAGCUAUGGUAGAAGACAUCCACGUGAGGUCUGGGAUUUGCUUUAAAACACGCUGGCAGGAAGAGGGGUGAGAGCUGGAGGGAGUGGGGCAAAUCCUGGUCCCUGUGGAAUCCAAGUGAUGGGAAUGUGGAGGCGCAUUAUAUUCUUCUGGGUGAAAAUAUCCACAAUAAUUGUUCAGUUGUGCUCGGUUUAUUAUUUCCGAUUGCUGUUUACUUGAGGAAGUAUCACAGGAUAUCUCGAAAUGCAGACCAGGAAUCGCCCUGUCGUUUUGGCUCCUCACCAUGUUGACCGGGCAGGAACAGGGCACUUCACGUGGGCAUGAGCCCAAGGAUGGUGGAGGUUCCCGCUUCUUCUGCAGGCGGGACUCUCGGGAGCCUCCGGCCAGGUCCUGGAGCCGGGGAGGGGAUCUUCCUUACCCUCCGUCUGAAGCUGCCAGCCUGCUCGUGACAGAAGUUGACCGGCUGACAGCGAUUUUAUGCAGAGCUGAGCACCACAGCCGGGGCCUGUCACCCCAGCUCUCAAGUGAAGAUCCAGGGGAAUUCGUGUUGGUGAAGAAGUAAAUUAUGAACCUUGGAUGGAAAACAGCUGCGUGUGUCCUCGGCCGUAAACGCAGAUCUCCUGAGCCGGUUAAUUGGACGAUGACAGACUCUGCCAGCUGUCUCGCCGGGGCAUGCCCUCCUUUCUCACCAGCAGGACCCUGAUGGUCACAUGCUCCCUGAACCUUGUCCAGCCCCCUCCUGUCACGCCCGGUGACACCGUGCUAGGCAGGAGGGGGAACCGGAGUCUCCCUACCUCAGCCUCUUCCUCUCUCUCGCCUCCUCCUCCCUCUGAGUCCUUGGUGAUUCUCGGGCAGCGUGGUGUGGUCCUGCACGUCCCCUUCGCGGAGGGAACAUCUCCUGUGCGUCCCCCAGCAUCCACUCCCCUCCUUGUAUGAACAGACCCGACUGCAUGUGAGAAUUCACUUUCCCACCUCAGUCCCUGUGUUUGGGCUGAGCUGAUCCUGAACCCCAGGCCCCGGGGAGCGCACGAGCCAGGCCUGGCAAAGCCCCCACUGCCCAGCCCCGGACAGUGAUGGGUUCAGUGACAGGAGGGACCUAAGCGAGCCUGUUGGUGACUUUGGGGCUCUCAGGGCAUCCCGCUCUUGUCCCCGGCCUUGGACCUGAGCGCUGUGGGGCUGGAGCUGCGGUGGGUGGGUGCGUGGGGCACCUGCAAUGCCGGGCCCUGAGUGGAGCCUCAGGGGAGCCAGCGACUUGGGGGGCAGGGUGGGGGAUACUUGGGAGACCAGCAAAGUCCAGGGGACAACGUCUGUGCGCUCAGACCCAGCUCUGCCUGAAGACCAGGCCCCACUGCACCAGCCUGCUAACGCCCCUGGCCUGAGCCACCUGAGUCUGUCACUUGUCACCAGGAGAAUCUCGCAGGAGAAGGUUCAAUUUAGGGCAGAAACUCCCCUGGCCCCUUGGGAAGCCUCCAACCUUCCCGAAGCCACAAGGACACAUCCACCUGCUGAGUUCCCCUCGUGAUCACCCUCUGAGAGCCGAGCCCCCAGCAGUGGGGCAUUCUCUUUAGGUGAAUGCAGUGCCGUGUCAGGGAACCGUCUCUGGGGCUGGUUGUGCCCCCUUCAGGCCAGGAGUACCCAGCCUGGUCUGCCUGAGAACCUGAAUGGUACUGU